UGGAGAAGAAGGCUAUCGGAACCAAACAAAAACGAGACACAGAGAAACUAAAUCCAGAAACACACUACUCCCUCUCACGUUCUCGUUCUCACCAUCUCCAUCUUCAUGCACUAUCCCAACGUCGCGACCUCCACCUGCCAUACUACCACCAAACUCACCUUUCCACUCAGUGCUUCCUUUCACCCUCUGUAUUUCGACUUCCAACCUCCGCUAGCUUCGCUCUGUUCAUCCACCCACAUCAACACAUCUCCAAACAACAUCCAUUUCCGCUCAUCGUUCCUCCACAAUCUGCUCAAAUCUGGCCGCAUCGUGUCAUUUCUGCGACUCAUUCACGGACCAUGCAACAACAACCUGCGAUAAACUUAUCCCCUCCACCAUAUGUCCAUCGUCUCUUCUCUGUGGCCAAUACCUUCUAG